rnacentral:rRNA from 1 species
UUUUUUUGAGAGUUUGAUCCUGGCUCAGGAUGAACGCUGGCGGCGUGUCUAAGGCAUGCAAGUCGAACGAACCUUUAGAGCUUGCUUUGAAGGUGAGUGGCAAACGGGAGAGUAACACAUUGGUAACCUACCCCAAAGACAGGAAUAACACCGAGAAAUUGGUGCUAAUACCUGAUGUGCUGCGUCAACAUAAGUUGAUUCAGUAAAACUACGGUGCUUUGGGAGGGGCCUAUGGUCUAUCAGCUUGUUGGUGAGGUAAUGGCUCACCAAGGCUACGACGGAUAGCGGGUGUGAGAGCAU